rfam:Trichuris trichiura, WGS project CBXK01000000 data, contig: TTRE_3094
UUCCCUCAGUAGCGGCGAGCGAACAGGGAUCAGCUCAGCGCCGAAGCCGACGACGGGCAACCGUCGACGGCGGUGUGGUGCGUAGGCCCGGCGGACGUGCGAACGACCUGUCGUCGUAGGCUCCCUUGAUCGGGACGUCGGAGAGGGUGCAAGGCCCGUGACGACGGCGGUUGGCCGCAACGCGCUCGCCGGGCUGUCGAGUCGGGUUGCUCGAGAGUGCAGCCCAAAGCGGGUGGUGAAUCCCACCUAAGGCUAAAUACGGCUACGAGACCGAUAGCGAACAAGUACCGCGAGGGAAAGUUGAAAAGAACUUUGAAGAGAGAGUUCAACAGGACGUGAAACCUGUAGAUUUCUCCGUUGCUUCACUCCUCACGGGUUCAACAGGACGUAUGGAAUGGAGUGAAGCAACGGAGAAGUCUACAGGAACGACCUAAUAGCUCUUAGUUCAAUGCUGGAAAGUGUGUGAGCGCGUAAGCUGGCUCGGCAGUAUCCUAAACUUGCGGUUAGAACGUUUUUGUUGCCAGUGGACGUUAGCGGAGCAGCGUGUUUUGCUUUUUUUGUUCUUUGCGUGCAGGCGUUUAGAAGUUUUAAGUUGGUAAUCAUUGGUCGUUGGAAAGCAACAAUAUGUUGUCGUUUGCUGUCUUGGCAAUUGUAAACUGUGCAUGCGCGAAUGUUAGGCGAUAGGUAGCAGUGGCGGAGGGAUGAGCCAACUGCUGAUGACACGUUGCAGGAGCGCGCGGUUGGAUUACAAAAGGAGUCAACGUUCGCUAAUUUGGCGGCGCAACAUGUAAGUGCAGCAAAAGAAUGCUUGCUGCUUGACGCUUAAGCAAGCAAACGUGACCAGGAAGGCACAAUUCGUCUGUUUAGCUGGAUCGAAUUGGCGGCUGAGUGUCGCAGAGUGGAAUGGGGCCUAGAGUAUGUUAUCGUGGAAAAGUGCGAUAUAAUCGCUGAUGGAAACUACCGCCAAAUGUACGCGCAAGGUCGCGUUUUACAACGCAUUCCAGUGGACGACGUGACAGCCACUAGACAGUUCCUGAUUCGUUUUCUAUAAAACAGCCACUUCGCGUCAUUUUCUUAACCGAGAAGCCGUUCUUAACAAUAGUACCGCUCCAACCGCUGAAAACGGAAUAUGGAUGGUCGAUCCAUAAUUUUCAGGGAAAAAACGAUAUGAGCUUCCGCUGUAGUGGUAUACCCAGCACAGUGUGACCAGUCUCAGCGAACAGAUCUCUUAUGCUAGGAAGAUUGCGUAUGUUAACGAACUAUUAAAGAAGCCUAUUGCAUUAGACACAAUAUGUCUUACCAGGGGCAUCAACCGGCUGCGAUUACGCACAAACAUUGUUACACGCUGAAAAUACCUCUCACUAAACUGCUUGCGUAUACAAAUGGUUGAAACAAUUAAAGAAGUAUGAGACCACAUUAUAAAACUAUACGGCUUUACGGAUAGACCAGCACAUAGGCAGUAUAAGAAACACGGAUAAGCUUAUAUAGAACAAAGUGGUAAACGUGAAAGAGAUUAAUGUAUAUGGAAUAAACCAAAAAUAGAUGAAUCUACCUUUACAGAUGGAAUCAACAUAGAUAAUAACAACGGAGACAUUCGGUGAAUAAAAUCAGCACGGCUUAUAAGUAAUAACAAAAGCAACCAGCUAAAAGAUAGGAUAAACUUCAACAUAAAUACUUUAAGGACGUCAUUCAAAGAGUUAAAAUCUAUUGACUUACGACUUUGCAUACACCAAUUACAUCAAUUUUAACACCGCUCAGGAUUGAUCCCGCGAGGCUCGAAAGCUAUGGGGAAUAAACGUUUAUAGCAGCUUUAGCGCAAAGCAUAUUCCGCAAAAGGAGGCAAAUUAACGUUAAAACGUGCAGUACAAGAAGCUACAUAUUCAAAACACUGUUUUCUAUUUCUUUCUGAGAACGCUUGCAUGAAGGACGUCCAGUAGGACGGUGCAGCGUUUAGCACGACGCCAACCGAUUGGGCGAUUUAAAUCUACUCCCAUCUGCGUUGUCUUCACAAAUGUAUGGAACGUAGCCCUACUCGAUGUUGCGC